rnacentral:tRNA from 1 species
GCCUGGGUGGCUCAAUUGGUUGAGCAUCUGACUUGGGUUCAGGUCACGAUCUCAAGGUUCGUGGGUUUGAGCCCCAUGUUGGGCU